AUGAAGUGGCCUGCUCAGCUGUUGGUGCUGAUGGUGUUCUGGAUUCCUGCUUCCAGAGGUGAUGUUGUGAUGACUCAAACUCCAACCUCCCUGUCUGUCAGCCUUGGAGAUGAAGCCUCCAUCUCCUGCACGUCUAGUCAGAGCCUUGUACUAAGUAGUGGAAACACAUAUUUGGAAUGGUACCUGCAGAAGCCAGGCCAGUCUCCACAGCUCCUGAUAUACAAGGUUUCCAACCGAUUUUCUGGAGUCCCAGACAGGUUCAGUGGCAGUGGGUCAGGCACAGAUUUCACACUCAAGAUCAGCAGAGUGGAGCCUGAUGAUUUGGGAGUAUAUUACUGUAUACAAGAGUCACAUGUUCCUCCCACAGUGAUUCAGACCCUAACAAAAACAUCCUUUUUUGGGGAGGCCCAGCUGCCACAUAUGUUGCUUAUCUGUGUGAGAGAUAGCUGCUGA